GAAUUUCCUGGCCCAAAGUGCAUUGCUUAUCAGCCAUGGUUUGGUUUCAGAACUCAUUAUAUUCAAGAUAGUUUCAGUCCAAUUAUUAAUCCCUGUGGAGUGAGGCAUUAUUGUUUUUCAUCUUAUUUCCUUAUAAAAGGAAUAUGAGAAUUAGAGGUAGAGGAUGGAGGAGUUAACCAGGGCAAAUAUGCCUAUUUAACGAGUUCAUAUGGCCACUUUCUGUGGUGUUACAGAUUUUUCUAAUAUCAUGUUUUAUCAAUGAAUAUGUUGCACAGUGAAAACUCAUGUUCCUUGUUGAAUUAUGUUAAAGCUGCGAUUUUAAGGAUGAAUUGCAAGUUAGAAUGCAGGAUGAAGCUAGGAAAUUCCAGUGGUUGUGAUUGUUAAUAAUCCUGGUUAUAGGCUACAUCCAUGACAAAAUCCCUAGCUUGAUAUGUGGAAUUCAUUGCAAGCAAUGUAUGAUUCUUGUAUUCAUAACGAACUCUCAGUUUAUCUUGAGAACUUUCUCAUUGUUGUGGAGAACAUGUGAUUUAUCCAACUUGCAUAGUAGGAAUUUUUAAGAACCAAAUUCCUUCCAACUUUAAUAAUUAUGUUCUUUUGCUGCAUCUUAAAGUUCACACUUGCAAUAAGGAUUUUUUUCAGUACUACGAAUGUUGAAAACACUCACUUCAAUUAGCACUGAUAGCAGGAUUUAAUAUUCUAUAACUUCUACUACCUGUUUUUUUAAAAGAUUUUAGGUUUAU
rnacentral:misc_RNA from 1 species